rnacentral:rRNA from 1 species
AUUGAACGCUGGCGGCAUGCCUUACACAUGCAAGUCGAACGGCAGCGGACCUUCGGGUGCCGGCGAGUGGCGAACGGGUGAGUAAUGCAUCGGAACGUGCCAUUGAGUGGGGGAUAACGUAGCGAAAGUUGCGCUAAUACCGCAUAUUCUGUGAGCAGGAAAGCAGGGGACCGCAAGGCCUUGCGCUCUUUGAGCGGCCGAUGUCAGAUUAGCUAGUUGGUGAGGUAACGGCUUACCAAGGCGACGAUCUGUAGCGGGUCUGAGAGGAUGAUCCGCCACACUGGAACUGAGACACGGUCCAGACUCCUACGGGAGGCAGCAGUGGGGAAUUUUGGACAAUGGGGGCAACCCUGAUCCAGCCAUGCCGCGUGAGUGAAGAAGGCCUUCGGGUUGGUUAAA